GCUCUGUGCUUCGGGCUGCCGCAGUUGGCGC
rnacentral:sRNA from 1 species